UCCGGUUUGUCACCGGCAGUCUCAUUAGAGUGCCCAACUAAAUGUAGCAACUAAUGACAAGGGUUGCGCUCGUUGCGGGACUUAACCCAACAUCUCACGACACGAGCUGACGACAGCCAUGCAGCACCUGUGUCUAGGUUCCCUUUCGGGCACACUCACAUCUCUGCGAGCUUCCUAGCAUGUCAAGGGUAGGUAAGGUGGGGAUGACGUCGAGGAACACCAAC
rnacentral:misc_RNA from 1 species